CUGCACCUCUAGCACAACUUGCAUCCGCGAGUUAGACCGCGACUCGAGUCGACAUUCCCGCGGCUGUCAAAUCUGUCGAAAUCCGUAGCAUAACUUGUACCCGCGACUGCAACAGCCGCGUAGAGAACUCAAUGUCGCGGCGCGACUCGUCAAUGUUCCCCGGCGAAAUAAAAGUCUAAACAAAUUGAUAUUUGCAAGUGGCAACACUGAAUCGGAAACAGGGAUGCGCUAAAUCAUUCGUUCUUAAAAAAAGAAAAACAAACAAUUAUUCUUUAUGGUGUUAGUUUAUACACGUCAAAUUGGGUAAAUGACGUUGACCUUUGAAAAAAAUCCAAAUAAUGCCGCCGAAGGUGAAGCGACAAAUGUAAGUAUAUAUUAUUGCUUGAAUAACCAUCUUUAAAGGUACAUUACUACUCAGUUUGAUAUGAUAUUAUUUUGCCUUUGCCCACAUUGACAAAUCGUUUGUAAAUAAAUAACUAAUACCUACCUUAAUAAUAUUUGCCCUUUUAAGCAAUUUAUGAAAUACAUAGAAAAAUUACUACCUAUCAUUAUUUUUGUUACACUUUCCACACUACGAAGUUCCUCGGCGCAAAUAGAAAAACUCGUGGACUAUAUGUCCACGAACCCAUUAUUUGCUGCCGGGGAAUUUCGCGGCCCUCUCGGAUACGAGCAGAUGGCAGCCGAGUGGGACCAGCUAAAAACCAUGUUGGCCAACUAUGGGCCUGAUAAGUCCGUCGAACAAUGGAAGCACACGUGGCGUGAUUUGAAGAAAAAAGCCCGUGCGGUCGGGGGGCGGACCCGCCUCACUCUUAAUAGAACGGGAAACGCAGAGGCCGUCCCCGAACUGAGCACCAGUACAUACAAAAUACUUGGGGCAAUUGGUACGGAGUGCGCCACGGGCAUCGGCGUCGAGCAGGAGACAGGGAUUGGCUCGGGAGUUGUUGAUUCUGGAGCGUCGGAGUUUUCGUUAGAGGCGGGAGGGUCGCAGCAACUACAGGCGGAUCAUAUUGAUCACGCGGAAGUAGUUGUGGUAACUCCCUCGCUUCCGACGACGCCUCGCUUCCGCCUUCCACGCCCGAACACCGCGCCGACUACCCGGCGGCGCCCGCAACAUCACCAACAGCAUUCUGCUGCUUUUGUAGUCGCCCAAAGGGAAACCAAUAUCAUA